CUCCAGUCACAGCAUCACAGAUCCAACAGCUACCACAUGCCAAUAAUGACCAUACAAAGACAAGAAAGAUUUGGCCAUGUCUAUUUGAUUUAAUCGAGAGCCACUGAUAAAGAAAACGACCAAACAAUUCAAAUUGUACAGGUGACUUAAAGAUACAUCUGAGAAACUACAAACCCUAUCCAAUCAUUGAUCAUGUAACGCGUAAAAAUACUCC
rnacentral:lncRNA from 1 species